rnacentral:tRNA from 1 species
AUGGCAGAUUAGUGCACUGGAUUUAAACCCCAUUUAUAAAGUUUAAACUUUUU